GAAAGAAAGAAUUUGCCGCAGGAUGUUGAGCACCAGCUGGAUCAACACCACCCACCAGCAGACGCAUUACGUCACACCGACAACAAAGACCGCGGUCCUGCUGCUGCAGAAACCCACAUGGAAGCUGAAGAAGAGCCCUUGGUAUAAUUUGCAGCUACAAGGAAUGAGCCGAAGAGGAACCUGAGACUUUGUGAGUGACUCCAGCUGCAUGGUUUUCCACCCACGACAAAGAAGGAAGGUAUUUCUAAAUACAAACCCAGUGUGAAAAAAGGGUCAAAAUGCAGUAAAAAAAAUAUAUUGAAGGGAGAAAAAAAACAAACAAACGAACCCAAAAGGCUUCAAUCGACUGAAUAAUUGGUAACAGUCUGCUCAAAUGAUGAAACCAUGGCUCCGUAAACGUAAGUGCUGAUGUAUCACUAGACUGCCUGCAGUCCAGAUGGGUGUCUUACUGUAAAUGUCUGUUGGUUUAGAGAGGAUGAAUCACACAAUGGGCACCACAGAUCUUGGAGACACUCAAAACAGCAUCAAACUACAAACAUCCCUCUUACAAUACUCUCCUUAAUUGGCAAAGCUAGCAAAAAAAAAUGUAAGAGUUUGUUUUGAAAGAAACAAGGAAGAAGCACACUUGUAAAGUUGCCGCUUUUUAGUUCUAAACCCUCGUAAACUAAGUACAAAAGCCUCACACACACAACACAUGCAAACGCACACAGUUCUGGUGCUUUAAUCAGUCACAGAGAGUUUAAUUAAAAAAAAAACCCAGCACAUUUAUUAAAAAAGAAAACACAAACAAGCAGGAAGAAGCAAAUAAACGGUGACCCGUGCUGCGUGCAUAUGCCCACACAGAGGAGGACAACACACAAAUACAUGUGUACGCAAAAGGUCAAAUUACACACACACACACACACUGAGACAGAGCCCUACCCCAUGUGGAUGUGACCCAUUGACCCUUCUGUCACACACAGUGCCCAUCUGCCACAGAGAGGCGCAGAGGGAGGGGACAAGGGUGGAGUGAGUGGGGUCUCGAGAGAGAGGGGGAGGUUAGAUUUUAGGGAGGGGGGGGUCACUCAUUGGGGGUAGGGCACCACAACAACUUACAACACAACAGAGCAAAGGGGGAAUGUGUCUUCAUGGUAAAUUUGGAGUUCACUUUAGCACAGAUGUGCAGUUUACAGGGGUUUUAGUGCUUUUAGACCUCCCUCAGCGCACACACACACACACACACAGACACAGACACAAGAACACACAUACAAACAAAAUGUAUUCCUGUUAGCCGGGGGUGAUCUCUCCAGAACCUCCUGUCUGCCGUCUCCUUUAAACUGGAGCCGUCUCAGUCUUCCCCCUGGUAAAUGAAGGAAAUACUGACGGCAGCAGGCGGACUACUGUCCUGAAUGUAGAACAGAUGAGGAGCAGAGAUGGAUGAGAGUGAUCAGAGCCCUGGGAGGCCUCGUGGCAGAAAGAAGAACUUGUCACCACGUCAAUACUACGACUUUUAGCUCUCAUCCUGGUAUCAUGUUAAUUCUGUGGGCCUAUGCAGUUCAUAUUCAAGUCUGUGGAAAUAUCAGGUUUUCCUCGAUGUGAAAACGGUGUCAAAUUAUGCAAAAAUUACAGACACAGACACCAAAGAGACUCCAGGAAGGAUAGGAUGGGUCUGGUGGGCAAAUAUGGUUAUACUUAAGCAAAUAUAUGAGCUGCUUUUUAUUACCUGGUGUACAUUGGCGUCCACCGCCAAUAUGAUGGCAGUUCCUCCCUGACCACAGCUGCCUGAAAACAGCCAGUAAAACUUGCAGUAAAGUUUUAUUUUCUGUACCGGCAAUGUUCCAUUAUUUUAUUGUUCAGUGAUAUUUGGGGGAAUUAAACCUUCAGUUAAAUGUCUGCUGUAACCGCAGGUGAAAUACAGCACAGUGAUGUAUUAUUUGGUGAAAUGUUUAACUUUGAUUUGCGCGGAAUCAGGUUUGGAGGAAGAAAAAAACAUAUGGACAGAUGACGAAAGGCGGAAAAAAAAAGACAGAAAAAGGUGACAAUUAGGAUGGUGGGUGUGAGGAGCAGAGGAAGCAGGGUGUGUGGAGACUAUCCAGAGGGGACCAACUGUAGUGGUGUCAGACAGAGGGAUGCUGCCAGCUCUCAUCCUUUCAAUGCACACCAGGAGCCAGACACAAACUCAGGGCCAGACUUGAGGGUGUGUGUGUGCCAGCCCCGCCAACUGUGCACCACCACCCAUCCACCCCGUCACACCACAACCCCUGAGGACCCAAUCUGGAAUCAGUCAACAGCAAGCACCGGGGUGCCUGUGUCGCCCUCCUACCGAGUUAGUGACAGAAAUCUCGACCUACGCUCUUCUCACAUUACAACGCCUCCAGGCCAAAGUUGAAUUUGAAGCCGUGUGGAUAUUCUCCCAAAGUAGGGAGUAUGUUUCUACAAUGCCAUGAGCAGUAACUUGUGAAGACAUGAUUCUUUUUGCUCUGCAGCCUUUGUGUACAUGCGUUUGAUUUAUUUUCUCCCCGGGGUGAAGUGAUAGUUCAGGCAACACAUGUUGUCUAAUUUACAGCUGAGGGUAAGAUUUAAAUUCCACUCAUAACCUUUUGUACUCUCUCCUGUUUCCCUGUGUUUGGUUUACAGGCAAUCCAUCUAAUGAGAAACGUCUUGCAAUAUUGCUAGAAAUCCCAUAAUGCAUCUUUAAAGCCCUCUCCAUCUUACACCCGCACUUCUAAGAAACACUAACCCUGAUAACCCUCUUAAUUCCCCCAUCAUGUUUAUGUAAAUUCCAUUUGUAUGUACUAUAUUUACAUAAUGGAUGCUGCUGUCACCUAUGGGAAGGAUCUGCUCUAUAUAAAUCCUUAAUUCUCUGUUGUAGUAAACAAUAUAUGUGAAGUAUGCAAAUGAAAAAAAUAUGUAUUUUUAAUUGGUGAACAAGCCUGAUUAUGCAAAACCUUUUUUUUGUUGUUUUUUUUUUCCAACCAGAAUUGUUGUACUCAAAGAUAAUUUCCCAACCGAAAUCACGUUUCAAACAGUGUGGGUCGACUUGUGACUGUGUUUAUGGUUCUCGCUCACAUCUGAGGCCUUCUUUUUCAAGGGUAAAAUUUCCACAGUGGUCUCAAGUGGUGGUCUGGACGAAACUGAGGGGUGUGGGUGUAAACAAAAAACAGGCCACAUAAAUACAUGCAGAAAUGUACAAACAGAGUCAAAGCCUUUGUUUAAACUUCUCAAGGAGCUCUCCGUAGAUUUAAAUGUAAAGUUCAGGCGUGGACGUGCAAAAUGGCCAGUCGUUGUGGAUAGGAAGACAGGAAGUCUGCAUUUUAAACUGUUUAGGGAAUACAUUUGAGCAUUUAAAAGUAUGGGAACUAAAUGGAAAAAAAAAUAUUUUUACAUACUAUGUAAUAUACAUGUUUUUGAAUACUUUUACAAAAGAGGACUAUUCAUCCUUAUUUAGGCAAAUGACCAAAAAUGAUAAAAGAAGUACACAUUCCACCGCUUUGAAUACUAAACUGCAUCCCUGGCAACUACAAAAAACAGAUUGCAACUGUAUUAAGACUAAUAUUUACUUCAAAUGCAAUGCUAGGAACAGCAAUCAGAUAAAUGUCCUCAACUUUUGCCCGAACGUCCUUUUUUGAUUUUAGUGUUUACAGGUAGUAUUAAUACAAGAUCAAAGAAUGCAGAGCUGCUAUGAAAAGCCAGAGGAGAAUAAGUAAUCUGAAGCAACAAAUGUCAAAAUAAAACUUUUUUUUUUGUCCUAAAAUAAUGCGCGGUCCCAAUCAACACAGGCUUGGGCAACAGUUUCUUUUUGGUAUUUUCAUAUGCAUACGAACUAACUGGAUUUAUUAUUAUCUAGCAAAUUUAAAAAAAAAAAAACAGGAACUAUAUUAAUUUGCAUAAAAGUCGCAUCAAACAUGCCCUUUACUGCAGAAAUGCCCGUGGAAUAUAUCAUUUGUUGGAUGUUGAUGUGGAAACUUUAAUACUUCACAGAACCCUAGCUUGGACAACUGAUUUUUCUGUCCAGUGGACGUUCACUGGUCUCAAAUUAUUCUGCUCUAGUCUUUCAAAACAUUUAGACAAACUUGAACUUGUCAGACUCACUAAAAUAAAUAAUGUCUUUUCGUGCACCAGCCCGCUUUUGCCCUCACUUCUCAGAGAUAUAGUAAACCAUGUUAAUGAUAGUGUAACAUACAGGAGUUUGUAAAUAUGAUGUAAAAUGUUUGGCCGCCGACAUGAACGUGUAUAUGCUGAAAUGUCAUAACAGCAGCAGAAUUAAACUCAUAAUUACCUUGUAUCCAGCGUUGCCAUCAGUGUUGCACAUAUUGCUAAGCAAAUAUCCAGCCCCUUUUUUUCUCUAUAAACAAUUUCCUAUUACAAACACAUGUAGGAAAUGAAUCACUCUUUCGUUCAACCCUCGGUGAGGACAUUUUAGACAAGAUCCCCCUCCUGUUUUCCAUUUGGCUGUUUAAUUGUCUCAACGCUGUCAACAGACUAUCAAGGUAAUUAGCCAUGACUGCACAACAACACAAUCAGACAGACAGGAAUGAAGUGCAGCCUCAGAACAUGAUACUGAGAGUUGGAAUGGGUGGGAAUGAUUUAAUGCGUGCACAUAUGUGGUGUGCACACAUCCUGGUGUGCAACAACACACACAAACCUGCAUACACGGUCAUUACCUUACCCAGAGUACAGAGUUACAUGCCACACAUUAUAUUUCCUCCACCAACCAUAACCCACCACCCACCUCCUCCAUAAUCCUACUACACUCUCACAGCCCUCCUUCUUGAAUACACACACACACACACACACAACAUGAACGAACCCUAAACCUCAUUUCCUCUGUGCCUGAAGCUAUAGGAGCAGUGUUAAUUGCGAGAAGGUGGGAAGAAAAGAAAAAAAAAUGGUGUGCCUUCCAUGUUUUCGUGACUACAUAUGUGUCAGUCUGCGGUAGCAUGAGCUUUGAAGGUGAGUGAGAGCCAUUGUAAGGCUAUGGAUGGAAGUCGGAGUGUUCUUGCGCUCAUUACUUUUAAGUGUGUUAG